rnacentral:rRNA from 1 species
GGUGAAAGCCUACAGCUCAACUGUAGAACUGCCAUUGAAACUGUUAUUCUUGAGUAUGGAUGAAGUGGGCGGAAUAUGUCAUGUAGCGGUGAAAUGCAUAGAUAUGACAUGGAACACCAAUUGCGAAGGCAGCUCACUAAACCAUUACUGACGCUCAUGGACGAAAGCGUGGGGAGCGAACAGGAUUAGAUACCCUGGUAGUCCACGCCGUAAACGAUGAUCACUAGAUGUUGGCGAUAUAAUGUCAGCGUUCAAGAGAAAUCGAUAAGUGAUCCACCUGGGGAGUACGUUCGCAAGAAUGAAACUCAAAGGAAUUGACGGGGGCCCGCACAAGCGGAGGAGCAUGUGGUUUAAUUCGAUGAUACGCGAGGAACCUUACCAAGGCUUAAAUGUAAUAUGACCGGUUGAGAGAUCAACCUUUUUUCGAACAGAUUACAAGGUGCUGCAUGGUUGUCGUCAGCUCGUGCCGUGAGGUGUCGGGUUAAGUCCCAUAACGAGCGCAACCCCUAUUUUUAGUUACCAGCGAGUAAUGUCGGGAACUCUAGAAAAACUGCCUGUGCAAACAGAGAGGAAGGUGGGGAUGACGUCAAAUCAUCACGGCCCUUAUGUCUUGGGCUACACACGUGCUACAAUGGUUACUACAAUGUGAUGCCAUCUGGUGACAGAGAGCUAAUCAAUAAAGGUAAUCUCAGUUCGGAUUGGAGUCUGCAACUCGACUCUAUGAAGUUGGAUUCGCUAGUAAUCGUAUAUCAGCCAUGAUACGGUGAAUACGUUCCCGGGCCUUGUACACACCGCCCGUCAAGCCAUGGAAGUUUGGGGUACCUGAAGUCAGUAACCGCAAGGAACUGCCUAGGGUAAAACGAAUAACUAGGGCUAAGUCGUAACAAGGUAGCCGUACCGGAAGGUGUGGCUG